rnacentral:rRNA from 1 species
GCCUUUAUUAAGGUGUCUUCCCCCCCGGAGGGCCGCGGGCGGGUGCUAACAUGCAGUCGAACGAUAAACCCCAGCUUGCUGGGUGGAUUAGUGCGAACGGGUGAGUAACACGUGAGUAACCUGCCCUUAACUCUGGGAUAAGCCUGGGAAACUGGGUCUAAUACCGGAUAGGAGCGCCUACCGCAUGGUGGGUGUUGGAAAGAUUUAUCGGUUUUGGAUGGACUCGCGGCCUAUCAGCUUGUUGGUGAGGUAAUGGCUCACCAAGGCGACGACGGGUAGCCGGCCUGAGAGGGUGACCGGCCACACUGGGACUGAGACACGGCCCAGACUCCUACGGGAGGCAGCAGUGGGGAAUAUUGCACAAUGGGCGCAAGCCUGAUGCAGCGACGCCGCGUGAGGGAUGACGGCCUUCGGGUUGUAAACCUCUUUCAGUAGGGAAGAAGCGAAAGUGACGGUACCUGCAGAAGAAGCACCGGCUAACUACGUGCCAGCAGCCGCGGUAAUACGUAGGGUGCGAGCGUUAUCCGGAAUUAUUGGGCGUAAAGAGCUCGUAGGCGGUUUGUCGCGUCUGUCGUGAAAGUCCGGGGCUUAACCCCGGAUCUGCGGUGGGUACGGGCAGACUAGAGUGCAGUAGGGGAGACUGGAAUUCCUGGUGUAGCGGUGGAAUGCGCAGAUAUCAGGAGGAACACCGAUGGCGAAGGCAGGUCUCUGGGCUGUAACUGACGCUGAGGAGCGAAAGCAUGGGGAGCGAACAGGAUUAGAUACCCUGGUAGUCCAUGCCGUAAACGUUGGGCACUAGGUGUGGGGACCAUUCCACGGUUUCCGCGCCGCAGCUAACGCAUUAAGUGCCCCGCCUGGGGAGUACGGCCGCAAGGCUAAAACUCAAAGGAAUUGACGGGGGCCCGCACAAGCGGCGGAGCAUGCGGAUUAAUUCGAUGCAACGCGAAGAACCUUACCAAGGCUUGACAUGUUCUCGAUCGCCGUAGAGAUACGGUUUCCCCUUUGGGGCGGGUUCACAGGUGGUGCAUGGUUGUCGUCAGCUCGUGUCGUGAGAUGUUGGGUUAAGUCCCGCAACGAGCGCAACCCUCGUUCCAUGUUGCCAGCACGUAGUGGUGGGGACUCAUGGGAGACUGCCGGGGUCAACUCGGAGGAAGGUGAGGACGACGUCAAAUCAUCAUGCCCCUUAUGUCUUGGGCUUCAGCAUGCUACAAUGGCCGGUCAAUGGGUUGCGAUACUGUGAGGUGGAACUAAUCCCAAAAAGCCGGUCCAGUUCGGAAUGGGGUCUGCAACUCGACCCCUGAAAUCGGAAUCCCUAGAAUCCCAAAUCACAACCGGCCAGAAAUCGGCGCCUUUUUUAUUACCGAACAAAGAAAGA